GAUGAACGCUGGCGGCGUGCCUAAUACAUGCAAGUCGAGCGAACAGAUGAGGAGCUUGCUCCUCUGACGUUAGCGGCGGACGGGUGAGUAACACGUGGAUAACCUACCUAUAAGACUGGGAUAACUUCGGGAAACCGGAGCUAAUACCGGAUAUUAUAUUGAACCGCAUGGUUCAAUAGUGAAAGACGGUUUUGCUGUCAUUUAUAGAUGGACCCGCGCCGCAUUAGCUAGUUGGUAAGGUAACGGCUUACCAAGGCGACGAUGCGUAGUCGACCUGAGAGAGUGAUCGGCCACACUGGAACUGAGACACGGUCCAGACUCCUACGGGAGGCAGCAGUAGGGAAUCUUCCGCAAUGGGCGAAAGCCUGACGGAGCAACGCCGCGUGAGUGAUGAAGGUCUUCGGAUCGUAAAACUCUGUUAUUAGGGAAGAACAAAUGUGUAAGUAACUAUGCACGUCUUGACGGUACCUAAUCAGAAAGCCACGGCUAACUACGUG
rnacentral:rRNA from 1 species